UAUAGUCUCCAUUCAAAUAUAGCCACGUUAUUUAGUGGGCAAAUCUCAUCAGCUAAUAAACAGAAGUAGUCCUACGUGCAGAAUUUGAUGAUCCAAUGCAACGUUCUGUUGCACAUCCCUUCUCAGAUGGGUGAGAUGAGCAGGCAGGUAAAUGGAUAUAUGUCUUGAGUUGCUCUGGAUCAUGAAUCAAUGAUGUCGCUGCAUCAAUUGGCAUUAAUACACUUACAUAGGAAAAAUUCGAGAUAUAAUAUGGUUAUGCUAUCGAGGGGUGUAGUUCACAAUAAUAUGAAGCUAACAUUUAUAAUCUUGAAUAAAGUAAAA
rnacentral:lncRNA from 1 species